CUUCCGUGACCGGGUAUUACGUUAUUGCGUACGGACGUACCUGUAAUGUGUUCGUGUCCAAUAUGAUCCGCGUCGGAACGGCGGCGGCGACUGCGACGCGAUGCAAAAAACGACCAUUGCGUAACUGCGAACGACGUUGUUUUUUUUUUAAUUCUACUACCGUCUUCGGCGGUAUAUACUCAACGGUAUUGUCUUUUUUUUUUUUUUUUUUUUUUGUUUUUCUUCGCGUAACGCUAUAAUAAUAAUUUUUAUCGCCACCUACCUAAGCGUUAUACCUAUAGACGCACGCGUCGCACGUUCAUCUGGAUUAGGUUGAGUCACCCGUUUUACCCGCAGAGACGACGACUUCUGCGUGGCUACCGCAACGAAACCGCCGUUCCUACUUACGCGUUUUUUCCUUUUUUUUUUUUUUCACCGCGUUCGCAGGUUUCCGUGCUUUGCGAUUUCGCGUUUCGGCAUUAGUGUACAAACGCUUUACCCUGAAUUUUCGCGAAAACGUACCUACGCUGUGCACAUAUUGUCCGGUGUAAUAUUAUAUUAUAACCGACAAAACGGUCCGUCCGAAUGCCGUCAAAUCGCAGUGCGGCCGGGUCGGACUCUCGCGGACCGAUCAAACGUUUCCGGGGAAAUACGGACCCGGGCACUUAAUACUUUCUCGCGUAGACUUCACGCACGGACGACCGACACAAAGUCCCCGGCUUUGCACGAACCCCGUUCUCGCUCUCUUUCUCACUCCCUCUCACUCUUCAAAAAGACCUUUCGUAAAGGUCGCAGCCGUGUUCGGCACGUCGACCUUUAAGUACACAACGGACGACGUUCCGUAAAUCAUAAUAUUAUCAUAUUAACACUUAUCGUGAAUUGAAAAAAACAAAAAAAUAAAUAAAUCAAAUACCAGACAAUUUCCUUUAUAUAAUCUCGUGUAUAUUUAUUUUUCAAAUAUUGUUUUUUUCAUGGUUUUUUUUUUUUUUUUUUUUUUUUUUUUUUUA